GGGGGUUUAGCUCAGCGGCAUAAGCGCCUGCCUUAAAAGCAGGCAGUUGUGAGUUCGAUCCCCGGAACCGGUA
rfam:Cavia porcellus supercont2_54 genomic scaffold, whole genome shotgun sequence.